rnacentral:miRNA from 3 species
UGUAGAGAUUGUGUGACGGGUAGU